CAUGCUGUAAACGUUGGGCACUAGGUGUGGGGAUCGUUGUGGUUUCUGCGCCGUAGCUAACGCAUUAAGUGUCCCGCCUGGGGAGUACGGCCGCAAGGCUAAAACUCAAAGGAAUUGACGGGGACCCGCACAAGCAGCGGAGCAUGUGGUUUAAUUCGAUGCAACGCGAAGAACCUUACCAGGGCUUGACAUAUAUGCGCUAGCACUAGAGAUAGUGGGUUCUCUUCGGAGACGUAUAUACAGGUGG
rnacentral:rRNA from 1 species